rnacentral:tRNA from 1 species
CGGGGCGUAGCGCAGUCUGGUUAGCGCACAAGACUGGGGGUCUUGGGGUCGCUGGUUCGAAUCCAGUCGCCCCGA